AGAGUUUGAUCAUGGCUCAGAUUGAACGCUGGCGGCAGGCCUAACACAUGCAAGUCGAACGGUAACAGGAAGCAGCUUGCUGCUUCGCUGACGAGUGGCGGACGGGUGAGUAAUGUCUGGGAAGCUGCCUGAUGGAGGGGGAUAACUACUGGAAACGGUAGCUAAUACCGCAUAAUGUCGCAAGACCAAAGAGGGGGACCUUCGGGCCUCUUGCCAUCGGAUGUGCCCAGAUGGGAUUAGCUUGUUGGUGGGGUAACGGCUCACCAAGGCGACGAUCCCUAGCUGGUCUGAGAGGAUGACCAGCCACACUGGAACUGAGACACGGUCCAGACUCCUACGGGAGGCAGCAGUGGGGAAUAUUGCACAAUGGGCGCAAGCCUGAUGCAGCCAUGCCGCGUGUAUGAAGAAGGCCUUCGGGUUGUAAAGUACUUUCAGCGGGGAGGAAGGGAGUAAAGUUAAUACCUUUGCUCAUUGACGUUACCCGCAGAAGAAGCACCGGCUAACUCCGUGCCAGCAGCCGCGGUAAUACGGAGGGUGCAAGCGUUAAUCGGAAUUACUGGGCGUAAAGCGCACGCAGGCGGUUUGUUAAGUCAGAUGUGAAAUCCCCGGGCUCAACCUGGGAACUGCAUCUGAUACUGGCAAGCUUGAGUCUCGUAGAGGGGGGUAGAAUUCCAGGUGUAGCGGUGAAAUGCGUAGAGAUCUGGAGGAAUACCGGUGGCGAAGGCGGCCCCCUGGACGAAGACUGACGCUCAGGUGCGAAAGCGUGGGGAGCAAACAGGAUUAGAUACCCUGGUAGUCCACGCCGUAAACGAUGUCGACUUGGAGGUUGUGCCCUUGAGGCGUGGCUUCCGGAGCUAACGCGUUAAGUCGACCGCCUGGGGAGUACGGCCGCAAGGUUAAAACUCAAAUGAAUUGACGGGGACCCCACAAGCGGUGGAGCAUGUGGUUUAAUUCGAUGCAACGCGAAGAACCUUACCUGGUCUUGACAUCCACGGAAGUUUUCAGAGAUGAGAAUGUGCCUUCGGGAACCGUGAGACAGGUGCUGCAUGGCUGUCGUCAGCUCGUGUUGUGAAAUGUUGGGUUAAGUCCCGCAACGAGCGCAACCCUUAUCCUUUGUUGCCAGCGGUCCGGCCGGGAACUCAAAGGAGACUGCCAGUGAUAAACUGGAGGAAGGUGGGGAUGACGUCAAGUCAUCAUGGCCCCUUACGACCAGGGCUACACACGUGCUACAAUGGCGCAUACAAAGAGAAGCGACCUCGCGAGAGCAAGCGGACCUCAUAAAGUGCGUCGUAGUCCGGAUUGGAGUCUGCAACUCGACUCCAUGAAGUCGGAAUCGCUAGUAAUCGUGGAUCAGAAUGCCACGGUGAAUACGUUCCCGGGCCUUGUACACACCGCCCGUCACACCAUGGGAGUGGGUUGCAAAAGAAGUAGGUAGCUUAACCUUCGGGAGGGCGCUUACCACUUUGUGAUUCAUGACUGGGGUGAAGUCGAAACAAGGUAACCGUAGGGGAACCUGCGGUUG
rnacentral:rRNA from 1 species